AUGCACACACACACAUGCACACACACACAUGCACACACAGUCACAAACACACAUGCACACACAUGCACACACACAGUCACAGACACAUGCACACACACAUGCACAGUCACAAACACAUGCACACACACAUGCAGUCACAGACGCAUGCACACACACACAUGCACACACAGUCACAAACACACAUGCACACACAUGAACACAGUCACAGACACAUGCACACACACAUGCACAGUCACAAACACAUGCACACACACAUGCAGUCACAGAUGCAUGCACACACACACAUGCACACAGUCACAAACACACAUGCACACACAUGCACACAGUCACAGACACAUGCACACACACAUGCACAGUCACAGACACACAUGCACAGUCACACACAUGCACACACACAGUCACAGACACAUGCACACACAUGCACAGUCACAAACACACAUGCACACACAGUCACAGACACAUGCACACACAGUCAGGCACAUGCGCACACACAUGCACAUAGUCACACACAAGCACACACAUGCACAUAAACAUAUGCACAUGCAUGCACACACAUACAGGCACAAACCCACAGGUGCACACACACAUAUACACACACAGGCACACACAGGCACAAACAGGCACACACAUGCACACACAUGCUCACACAGUCACAGACGCAUGCACACACAGUCACAGACACAUGCACACACACACACACACGCAGUCACACACAUGCACAUAAACAUAUGCACAUGCAUACACACAUACAGGCACAAACCCACAGGUGCACACACACAUAUACACACACAGGCACACACAGGCACAAACACAGGCACACACAUGCACACACAUGCUCACACAGGCACACACAUGACACACACAUGCUCACAGUUAUACAUACAUACACACUGCAUAUGCACAUACACCACACAAACCAUAGGGGCACACGCUCACAUACUUAUGUACACAGUCCUCUCCCACAGAGCCCUUCUGCCUGCUCUCUGCUGCUGCUGGGCCAUCUCCACCCAUGCCAGCCACUGCCUCCUGCCCUGUUCUCACCUACGCUGGCCCCCAUGUGGAUCCAGCCCCUGGGACAUGGAUCCCAUCCAGUCUGAACUGGCUAAUCUGGAGGGGUCCCUCACAGCUGAGACAGGGCCAGCAGCAGGAAGACCUCAUAGGAGAAUCUACCCUGGCCUGGGAUCUCAGGAGGGCAGAGGCUCGUGGGGGCCCCGCUUUGUGGUGUAG
rnacentral:lncRNA from 1 species